GAAGUAUAUACAUUCAUUGUUAUUGUACAAGUUAGGAUCUAACUGAAGCAAGUAUUUGAUGAAGCCAUGUCUCAAUAUCAACAACCAUUGAUCUGAAACUCUGCUGUUUUACUGAAGGAAGAUUCUACUAUUUACAUCAACUCCCUCUUCCAAAUAUUACUUCCCCCUACUCCUCAUGAACAUGACUUUAUCAACCCCAAGUUGUAAAGUACCUUCUCCGAUCUCGACCGAAAGAGGUUUCCCAAAGAAAAGCCCGACCCCUCCUGCGGUGGGCAUUUCGACUGCCGUUCGUCGUCCUUCACGUGAAGUAUUGUUAGUCCAAUGGCUUCUCGCACCGCCUUAAUGGUUUCACUCCUUACUGAGUUUCCAGAUGCAUCAGUCACAUAGAAAAC
rnacentral:misc_RNA from 1 species